rnacentral:rRNA from 1 species
GACGAACGCUGGCGGCGUGCCUAAUACAUGCAAGUCGAACGCAGUGGGGACGGGUGAGUAACACGUGGGUAACCUCCAAUCAGAGGGGAUAACACUUGGAAACAGGUGCUAAACCGCUACUGAUGGAUGGACCUGCGGUGCAUUAGCUAGUUGGUGGGGUAACGGCUCACCAAGGCCAUGAUGCAUAGCCGACCUGAGAGGGUGAUCGGCCACACUGGGACUGAGACACGGCACAGACUCCUACGGGAGGCAGCAGUAGGGAAUCUUCGGCAAUGGACGAAAGUCUGACCGAGCAACGCCGCGUGAGUGAAGAAGGUUUUCGGAUCGUAAAACUCUGUUGUUAGAGAAGCGGUAUCUGCAGAAUAAGCACCGGCUAACUACGUGCCAGCAGCCGCGGUAAUAC